CCUCCCAAAUAUAUUAGAAAAUUUUCCCCCUCUUCAACAUCUCCCCCCAAAAUCAAUUUCCCAUUCCAAAAUCAACUUCCCUCUUCAAACUAGGGCAACUUCAAUUCUAAAAAAUUCUUCCAUCCUCAUCUUCUAAGGUCAGAUUGCUGGCAAAUUCCCUCCCAGUCGUUGUUUCUGCCUUCGCCAGAUCAGAACUAGUCACCUAGCUACUGGAAUCGAGGGUUGGUGGCGAUUGGUACAAGCGAAUGAUUCUGUUGAUUCUAAUUAGUGGAUAAAUAGUCGGUUUUGGUAGAUCUUUGUCAGAAAGUGCAUUAACUGCUUCAAUUUAUGAUUUCAUGGAACGACGUGCCAACCACCAUGACACCGAGCGUUGUGGCCAAGGUCGACUACUCGACCGCCGCCAUCUGCAUAAAAUAGGGUAUCGGCUAAUAAAUACUGUUUAUCCGGAUGCCUUCCAUCUGCAUACAUGGAACGGGAAUUUUGGCUUGAGAUGACACGUGGCAAGAAGGGAACGGUUGAAUAUGGAGUAAACGUAGAUGGGAGUGCGUUCUCAUCUUCCUCUGAUGAUCAUCUUGCAAACAACAAAUGGAAUCUUAAGAAACUUCGUAGGUUGCCAAGAUUAGCACUUAAAACGAUAUUCCAGGAGUGACUGAUCCCAUGUUGUAUAUUGGAAUGCUUUUCAGUAUGUUUGAAUGGCAUGUAGAAGAUCACUACUUGUAUAGCAUAAAUUUCAUCACUGUGGGGCACCAAAAACAUGGUAUGGAGUUCCCGGUAGUGCUGCUGAUGAGUUUGAGAAAGUUAUCCAGAAUCAUGUUUACACUAGAGAAAUAUUAUCAAGAAACGGGUCAGAAGGAGCCUUUGAGAUGCUUGCAGAAAAAAAACAACUAUGUUUUCUCCAAAGAUCCUGUUGGAGAAUCACGUUCCGGUUUACAAACUUGUGCAAUUACUAGGGGAGUUCGUUGGCACGUUUCCUAGAGCGUAUCAUGCCGGUUUCAGUCAUGGAUAAGAACGAGUCUGCAAAUGGUUUUCUGUUGCUGCUACAGGCAGGGGCGGACUCAAGUACAAGGUUACGGGUUCAGGUGAAACCAUUAAAUUUUGAAUUUUUAACGUACGGUAUAUAUAAAAAAAGAUUGAACCAAUGACUAAAUUUUAAGUGAACGCUUAUACAAGAUCUAACUUGGUUCCAGCUGGUAAAGAGCUUUUGUUUGGUGUAAGAGCCUAAGAGGUCGCGAGCUCUAUGCUCUCUUUUUCAUUUUGAAAACUUUUUUUCCCCUAUACUCCAAUUCAACACUUCAGCCAUCCUACCAGGCAUGACAGCCGGUUAACCUGUUUUCUAGCCCUAACCCUCUUCCAGUCCUCCCACUACCACUACCACAACCACUACAAGUUGCGAGUCAUCGAUUUGUUGUUUUGAAGUCACAAGAUUUUUUUCGAUUUAAUUAUUUAUUUCUAUUACCAUUAAAGGGUUAUUUUAAUGUUAUUAGUUAAUUCAGAGUUAUAAUUUAUGGUGCUUUAUUUCGUUUUAUUUUUAUAUAUCAUCUGAAUAAUUAUCUUUCGGGAGUUUUUGUUUAUGUUAUGUUCCCUCUAACUCUGAUUACUUUGAUUAUAUGUUGUUCUACUACAUCCUUUGGAAAGCUAUGGACCUGAAGAAGAUACUUGGAAUCCUAUAGAUGGCAUGGGGUAUGCAAAUCACUUUUAAUAUUUAAUUUUCAUGUUGUGGUGGUGCAAAUGAAUCGCAGCCAAUGACAACUUUGGAUCCGCUGCUUCAGGAGCUUAUGGAAGGAAUAGAAGUUCCAGGCUAGUAGAUGUCAUCAGGACCACCACCCAAAGAUGUCACAAACCUAGUCUACAUCCAUCUGCAUAUCUAAUGCCUCAGGUCCUCUUCCAACUUAUCGUGGUGGGCCGCAACAUUACGUUAUACCAACCAUGGAGUACAUGGACCUGUUGGUGGCGUUUCUCAACCUGGUAGUCAUGGUUUCACUGUUGGUUAGGGGAAUGCAAUUGACAAUAGCAAUCAUUUAACUAGCAAGAAGAUUGUGAAAGAGGUUUAUAAGCGCAAUGAAGUUUUGAGUUUUUAUUCAAACGUUUAUUAGUUAUUUGUUUUGUAUGUUUGAUAUUUAGACUUAAGUUGAUACUUAUUAGACAUUUGUUUGAAACAUUUGCAAUGUGUGGAAGACAAUCAAACGUUUAAUUGAGGUUAUUAUAUAAU